GUGACGAAUGCCGGAUGAAACUACAGAUCGUUAAAUCUCCAGGUCGCGGGUUCGAAUCCCGUCGGGCCUCCAAUUCAUGGACCCGUAGCUCAGCGGAUAGAGCAGGAUGUUUCACCACACCUCGUCGUCACGGA
rnacentral:Y_RNA from 2 species